UGCGUAGGCGGGCUAAUAAGUCAGUGGUGAAAUCUUCCGGCUCAACCGGGAACCUGCCAUCGAUACUGUUAGUCUUGAGUACGGCUGAGGUAGGCGGAAUGUGUAAUGUAGCGGUGAAAUGCUUAGAUAUUACACAGAACACCAAUUGCGUAGGCAGCUUACUAGACCGUAACUGACGCUGAGGCACGAAAGCGUGGGGAGCGAACAGGAUUAGAUACCCUGGUAGUCC
rnacentral:rRNA from 1 species